rnacentral:rRNA from 1 species
GCGGCUUUGUGAAUAGAUCUACCGCUGAGGCGCGUAAGCGUGGGGAGCGAUCGGAGUAAGAUACCCCGGUAGUGCACGCAGUAAGCGAUGCGCAUAUGGUGUAGCGGGUAUCGACCCAUGCUGUGCGGGCGCUAACGCAAUAAGUGGUGGAAACUGGGGAUUACGCAAGCAACUGUGAAACUCAAGGGAAUUGACGGGGCCGCGCACAAGCGGUGGAGUAUGUGGUGUAAUUCGAUGCAUCGGGAAGAACCUUACCAGCGCUGCACAUGUUGGUGGUAGGACGCUGAAAGGUAACCGACCUUUCAGGGAGCCUUCACAGGUAUCCCAUGGCUGUGGUCAGCUCGUGUCGUGAGAUGUUGGGUUAAGUGCCGCAACGAGCGCAACCCCUACCCUUAGUUGCCAUCAGUUAGGCUGGGAACUCUAGGGGAAGCGCCGGUGACAAACCGGAGGAAGGUGGGGAUGACGUCAAGUCCUCAAGGCCCUUAUGUCCUGGGGUACACCCGUACUACAAUGGUCGGUACAAUGAGUCGCAAUACCGCGAGGUGGAGCCAAUCUCAAAAAACCGCCCUCAAUUCAGAUUGGAGUCUGCAACUGGACUCCAUGAAGAAGGAAUCGCGGGUAAUCGCGGAUCAGCAUGCCGCGGUGAAUUCGUUCCCGGGGCAAGUUCACACCGCACCUCACACCACGAAAGUUGGUUGCCAGAGAAGUCCCCAGGCGACCCGCAAGGAGGCAGGCGCUUAAGGU